rnacentral:rRNA from 1 species
CGGAUAACGCUGGCGGCGUGCCUAACACAUGCAAGUCGAACGCGCCCGGGGGGGCAACCCUCUGGGUGAGUGGCGGACGGGUGAGUAACACGUGGGUUAUCUACCUUGAGGUGAGGAAUACCGGCGAGAAAUCGCCGACAAUACCGCAUACGUUUGGCUUUACCAAACAAAGUCCCGAGACUCGGGACGCCACAAGAUGAGCCUGCGCCCGAUUAGUUAGUUGGUGGAGUAACGGUCUACCAAGGCGACGAUCGGUAGCUGGUCUGAGAGGACGAUCAGCCACACUGGGAUUGAGAACGGCCCAGACUCCUACGGGAGGCAGCAGUGGGGAAUAUUGCGCAAUGGACGAAAGUCUGACGCAGCGACGCCGCGUGAGGGAUGACGGCCUUCGGGUUGUAAACCUCUUUCACCAUCGACGAAGCCUUUGGGUGACGGUAGGUGGGGAAGAAGCACCGGCUAACUACGUGCCAGCAGCCGCGGUAAUACGUAGGGUGCGAGCGUUGUCCGGAAUUAUUGGGCGUAAAGAACUCGUAGGCGGUUUGUUGCGUCGGCCGUGAAAACUAGAGGCUUAACUUUUAGCUUGCGGUCGAUACGGGCAGACUUGAGUUCGGUAGGGGAGACUGGAAUUCCUGGUGUAGCGGUGAAAUGCGCAGAUAUCAGGAGGAACACCGGUGGCGAAGGCGGGUCUCUGGGCCGAUACUGACGCUGAGGAGCGAAAGCGUGGGGAGCGAACAGGAUUAGAUACCCUGGUAGUCCACGCUGUAAACGUUGGGCGCUAGGUGUGGGGAGCAUUCCACGUUCUCCGUGCCGUAGCUAACGCAUUAAGCGCCCCGCCUGGGGAGUACGGCCGCAAGGCUAAAACUCAAAGGAAUUGACGGGGGGCCGCACAAGCGGCGGAGCAUGUGGAUUAAUUCGAUGCAACGCGAAGAACCUUACCUGGGCUUGACAUGCAUCAGAUUUCCCCAGAGAUGGGGCUUCCCUUGUGGUUGGUGUACAGGUGGUGCAUGGCUGUCGUCAGCUCGUGUCGUGAGAUGUUGGGUUAAGUCCCGCAACGAGCGCAACCCUCGUUCCAUGUUGCCAGCGCGUGAUGGCGGGGACUCAUGGGAGACUGCCGGGGUCAACUCGGAGGAAGGUGGGGAUGACGUCAAGUCAUCAUGCCCCUUAUGUCCAGGGCUUCACACAUGCUACAAUGGCUCAUACAGAGGGUUGUGAGACCGUGAGGUGGAGCGAAUCCCUUAAAGUGAGUCUCAGUUCGGAUCGGGGUCUGCAACUCGACCCCGUGAAGUCGGAGUCGCUAGUAAUCGCAGAUCAGCAAUGCUGCGGUGAAUACGUUCCCGG